rnacentral:rRNA from 1 species
UGAGCAAUCUGCCCUUCUCAUCGGAAUAAGCGUUGGAAACGACGUCUAAUGCCGAAUACGACCUCCUUUCGCAUGAUCGGAGGUGGAAAGCUCCGGCGGAGAAGGAUGAGCUCGCGGCCUAUCAGCUAGUUGGUGUGGGUAAUGGCUCACCAAGGCGACGACGGGUAGCCGGCCUGAGAGGGUGACCGGCCACACUGGGACUGAGACACGGCCCAGACUCCCUAGGGAGG